ensembl:lncRNA
AAAGAGUCUCAAUCCAGACCCCAAGAGAGGAUUGCUGGAUCUCACACAGGAAGGAAUUCAAGGCAAGUUACAAAGUACAGAGAGAGGAUAGUUUAUUGAAAGCUACUCAGUUACAGAAUAGGGCAUCCUCAGAAAGCAAGAGGAGGAACAUGCCAUCUCUGUCUUAAACUUUUCUCAUACAGGAGUCUCAUCUAUGUAAAAGCUAAGAUAAAUUAUGUCUAUGUGUGAGUGGGCUGACAGCAUGAUAAAAUUUAGUACUUUGUUGAUGUAAAGAAAGUUAUCCUUGGCAUUUUAGUGCAUAAGUACAUCAAAGCAUGACUAUAGUCAUCUUAAAAGCAUAUCUUGUUAAGGAUAGUGGGACAUCUGGAUUUUUUGUUAUUGUAGGAGUGUGUCCUUGCAGGUAUUUUUAAGGUGUUUCCUCAACUGUAAACAUCUUAGGACCAUGAGUCAUGACUAGCAAGGAACGUGCCUUGAUACUUUUAAGAUGGAGUUGAUUUUAAAAUGAUGUCACUGUGGCUCUCCUAUGCUUCUGUUUCCCUAACUUAGUGAGCGAGAAGUAGUAUCUCAUGGUAGUUUGUUCUUCAUUUCCCUAAUGAUUAAUGAUUAUUGUGGUUUGACUGUGUCCCCCUGAACCCCCGCCAAUUCUCAUCUUGAAUUGUAGCUCCCACAAUUCCCACAUGUUGUGGGAGGGACCCAGUGGGAGGUAAUUGAAUCAUGGGGGCAGGUCUCUCCCGUGCUGUUCUCAUGAUUGUGAAUAAGUCUCAUGAGACCACAUAAUUUUAUAAAAAGGAGUUUCCCUGCAUAGGCUCUCUCUCCCCUGCCACCAUGUAGGUUGUGACUUGCUCCUCCUUGUGUUCUGCCAUGAUUGUGAGGCCUCCCCAGCCAUGUGGAACUGUGAGUCAAUUAAACCUCUUUUCUUUAUAAAUUACCCAGUCUUGGGUAUGUCUUUAUCAGCAGCGUAAAAACGGACUAAUACAAUGAUGUUAGCAUUUCUUCAUGUGCUUGUUGGUUAUUUGUGUAUCUUCUUGGGAAAAAUCUCUAUUCAUGUCCUUUGCCCAAUUUGGGGCUAUUUGUCUUUUUAUUAUUGAGUUGUAGGAACUCUUUAUCAGUCCUGUAUACAAUUCUCUUAUCAGAUAUAUAAUUUGGAGAUAUUUUCUCCAUCCUGUGGUGCUUUUUUUUUGCUUUCUUGAUGGUGUCUUAUGAAGCACAAAGGCUUUUAAUUUUGAUGGAAUUCAAUUUAUCUAUUUUUUGUUUUGUUAUUUUCUUUUCUUUUUUUUUUUAGACAGAGUCUCGCUCUGUUGCCCAGGCUGGAAUGCAGUGGCCGGAUCUCAGCUCACUGCAAGCUCCUGCCUCCCGGGUUUACGCCAUUCUCCUGCCUCAACCUCCCGAGUAGCUGGGACUACAGGCGCAUGCCACCAUGCCCAGUUCAGGUCUCCUGCUUUGUCAUAGGCCCUUUUUCCUUUUGGUGGCUGAUCAAGACCCAGCUUGGUAAAUUACUCACUGGUCAAUCAGGAAAAAAAUAAUGUUCUUAUUGCAAAUCACUUUAGAGUUUGCAGAGGGCUAGAGUUGGCAUAUUCUGUCCCUAAGGUUGGAAGGGUCCCUGGCUGAAAGUCCAGAAUCCCAGACUCUCCAGGUCCGCCUGGUGUUCAGUUUCCCCAUCCCUAAAACCCUAAAACUGGGUCAGUUCACUGACGCUCGUGGGGGUGGUGGAGAAGAAAGUGCCUUUGUUGGUGCUUUAGAAGCUCUCUAGAGAUUUGCACGCCACGGUCAGCCACCCACAAUCAGCUGUCCCCUAAGAAUCUGAUAUGUACUCCCCAUCCCACACCACAGGUCAAGAACCUGAGCUUGUCACUGGCUGGAGCAUAUGAUCAUGUGACUGAGGGGAAAUCUCUUCCUGCUCAGAAUUGCUGGAAUUUUAAGAGCCAUGUUUAGAACUCUGGGGCUUUCCAGCCAGAGCACUUUCAGUAAUACACCGUGCUUCCUUGAAUUGGGAUGUUUAGAUAGGCCGGAUCUGGAGAGCUGAGGUCUAUUCAGGAGACUUUAUGAUCUCAGUGGUCUUAGCUGAUGGCUCCCCCAAAGGAAGAGGAUGGGAGAGGGGAGCUCUAGGCCAAGGUGGUCUUCUCCUCCCAGCCUGUCUACGUUAUUCAUAUCCAUUAAGAUUGCAUUGGAUUGCACAUAACAAACUAACAACAGUGUCCAUCUUUCAUGGUGUGACCUGCAGGUUAAAUAGAAAGGGGAUGGACAGGCCGGGCGCAGUGGCUUACACCUAUAAUCACAGCACUUUGGGAGGCCGAGGUGGGCAGAUC